GAAAAAUCCUGGGCCAUUCGGACCAAGGAAUCAUAGACUGCAUUGUCUCCGUGAGGAUGAAAUUUACCAAGAACCUCUCCAACAACUCUCGCAGAUUUUUUAUACGGUUUCUUAGAAGAAAGCCCCAACUCAUGCAUUGCAUAUAGUAUUCGCCUGUGCACUGGCUUCAACCCGUCCCUAACAUCAGGCAAAGCGCGACCCAGCAGCACUGACAUUGCAUAAGACAUGUAUGCCUCAGUAGCCUCCUUGUGAAGCUCGG
rnacentral:misc_RNA from 1 species